rnacentral:rRNA from 1 species
GACAGAGGGUGCAAACGUUGCUCGGAAUCACUGGGCGUAAAGGGCGUGUAGGCGGGCAGUAAAGUCAGAUGUGAAAUCCCUGGGCUCAACCCAGGAACUGCAUUUGAAACUCACUUUCUUGAGUACCGGAGAGGAAGGUGGAAUUCCUGGUGUAGAGGUGAAAUUCGUAGAUAUCAGGAGGAACACCAGUGGCGAAGGCGGCCUUCUGGACGGUAACUGACGCUGAGACGCGAAAGCGUGGGGAGCAAACAGG